GCCAGAGUGGCGGAAGGGCAGACGCGCCGGUCUCAAAAACCGGUGGACGUAAUAGUCCGUGUGGGUUCGAAUCCCACCUCUGGCACCA
rnacentral:tRNA from 1 species